UCCGUAGGCGGGCAAUUAAGUCAGAGGUGAAAUCCCACAGCUCAACUGUGGAACUGCCAUUGAUACUGGUUGUCUUGAGUUACAGUGAAGUAGAUAGAAUAUGUAGUGUAGCGGUGAAAUGCAUAGAUAUUACAUAGAAUACCGAUUGCGAAGGCAGUCUACUAACUGUAUACUGACGCUAAUGGACGAAAGCGUGGGGAGCGAACAGGAUUAGAUACCCUGGUAGUCC
rnacentral:rRNA from 1 species